rnacentral:tRNA from 1 species
UGCGGCAUAGCGCAGUGGCAGCGCGCGGGGUUCAUACCCCCGAGGUCGGUGGUUCAAUUCCAUCUGCCGCAACCA